CCAGACUCCUACGGGAGGCAGCAGUGGGGGAUAUUGCACAAUGGGGGAAACCCUGAUGCAGCGACGCCGCGUGAGUGAAGAAGUAUUUCGGUAUGUAAAGCUCUAUCAGCAGGGACGAAAAUGACGGUACCUGAGUAAGAAGCCCCGGCUGACUACGUGCCAGCAGCCGCGGUAAUACGUAGGGGGCAAGCGUUAUCCGGAUUUACUGGGUGUAAAGGGAGCGUAGACGGUUAUGUAAGUCUGGAGUGAAAGCCCGGGGCCCAACCCCGGGACUGCUUUGGAAACUGUGUAACUGGAGUACAGGAGGGGCAGGCGGAAUUCCUGGUGUAGCGGUGAAAUGCGUAGAUAUUAGGAGGAACACCAGUGGCGAAGGCGGCUUACUGGACUGUAACUGACGUUGAGGCUCGAAAGCGUGGGGAGCAAACAGGAUUAGAUACCCUUGUAU
rnacentral:rRNA from 1 species